AGUGAACGCUGGCGGUAGGCCUAACACAUGCAAGUCGAACGGCAGCACAGUAAGAGCUUGCUCUUACGGGUGGCGAGUGGCGGACGGGUGAGGAAUACAUCGGAAUCUACUUUUUCGUGGGGGAUAACGUAGGGAAACUUACGCUAAUACCGCAUACGACCUACGGGUGAAAGCAGGGGAUCUUCGGACCUUGCGCGAUUGAAUGAGCCGAUGUCGGAUUAGCUAGUUGGCGGGGUAAAGGCCCACCAAGGCGACGAUCCGUAGCUGGUCUGAGAGGAUGAUCAGCCACACUGGAACUGAGACACGGUCCAGACUCCUACGGGAGGCAGCAGUGGGGAAUAUUGGACAAUGGGCGAAAGCCUGAUCCAGCCAUACCGCGUGGGUGAAGAAGGCCUUCGGGUUGUAAAGCACUUUUGUUGGGAAAGAAAAGCAGCAGGUUAAUACCCCGCUGUUCUGACGGUACCAAAAGAAUAAGCACCGGCUAACUUCGUG
rnacentral:rRNA from 1 species